CAAAAGAGGAGAAGAUAAAAACAAAAGCCGUGAAAAUAUCGUGACAAAAUUGAGGUGCAGCAGUAAAUGCAAUCCUAUAGAGCAGGACCCGUCAACAAGAAGCAUGCAGAAUUUGCCUCCAGACAGAUGGAGAAGGACAAAUAUUCCACUCCGAAACCAUGGUUUGUAAGACGGAUGGCCUCGUUUAAGGAAAACAUACCAAAUCAGUGUGCCUCGGAUGGCUUAAGCUGGCUUCUGUUUCUGCCCAAAUCGUAUUCCUGCUCAAAUUCAAUCGAAGUCGGAAUUUUCAUUCGGAUAAAACGAUUUCAGUGGGAUUGGAUGAGCCUUGCACUGUAGCAACAAAAUUAGAGUAAGCAGGAAACAACAGGCGCCAGUUGAGCAUGAAUUCAAUUAGAUUUUGGAGAAAUAUAAGGACAAAUUUACGCAGCAACAAUCAGAUGGCUGAAUUAUUCCAAUGCUACCAUAUUUGAUUUCACAUUACUUUUGUGGCACUUCAUUGUUCCGAUAGCCACCUAGAACUACAUCUUCUUAUUCCGAGAUCUGGAUCUGCGACUCCAAUGAAAAUCAACAAAGGGAAGAUGCGAAGCAACUUCGUUUAAAUAAGCAGGAACAGAGUUCACAAGCCAGAUGAACUGAAUAUUGAUGCUACUGCCACCACCACCAUUGAGCGCUCUGACUGAACCUAGUAAGACUCUAAAAUUGGAGUAGAGAACACUGGAAACGAAUUCCGAUAAAACGUCCGA